rnacentral:misc_RNA from 1 species
AACCUAGCACACCUGCGGUGUGUACCUGCGGAGGGAUCAUUAAAUAAAUAAGAAGUAUUUCGGGCUUGUCCUGAUCUACUAUCUAUUUUACUGUGAACUGUUUUAUUUCAUGGCGUUUGAGGGAUGUUCUUGUGCUAUAUGGGUAGGCAUGAGAAAUGUUAACCGAGCUAUGGUCAAGCUUAGGCUUGGUACCCUGUUUAUAUACUUUCAAUUGAUCAGAUUAUAAAAUGUAACAUAGGU